ensembl:lncRNA
CUUGUGUCAUGGGAGACACCAUGGAGUUUUCGGAGUGGGUCUGGCACUUGUGGGACUAUUGCAGAGACUUGCUGGGCACUGGCCACAAGCCAGUUUUGCAAGGCAUCUGUAGGACAAGAGGCAGAAAUACUGUAAAGCACAGGGAGUGAUCAUGGGAGACUGCUUUGUAUUUUGCAUUUUUGAAGGCCUUAUCUUACACGUGAAUGCUCAGAUGGUUAUUUACCCUUGAAGUAAGUAAAAAUAGGAUUAAGAAGAGGAUUAAGAGAACGGAGCAUUGUUUGACACUGUCCAGAACAACAAAAAUGGAUCUGAUGGAUGAACCACUCACAGGAAUUGCCUGGAUGGUUGCAUUUAGAGAGUUCUGGUCAACAGCUCAAUGUCCAAGUGGAGACCGGUGGCAAGUGGCAUUCCUUCCUCAGGUAUCAGUGCUGGGACUGGUUCUAUUUAACAUCUUUGUAGGUGACAGAUA